CUACUUACCUGGCAGGGGAGAUACUGUGAUCACGAAGGUGGUUCUCCCAGAGCGAGGCUCAUCCAUUGCACUGCGGGUGUGCUGACCUCUGCGAUUUCCUCAAAUGUGGGAAACUCGACUGCAUAAUUUGUGGUAGUGGGGGACUGAGUGCGCGCUUUCCCCUG
ensembl:snRNA U1 U1 spliceosomal RNA